rnacentral:rRNA from 1 species
GCCGACCUUGAAAUACCACCCUUUAAUGUUUGAUGUUCUAACGUGGACCCGUGAUCCGGGUUGCGGACAGUGUCUGGUGGGUAGUUUGACUGGGGCGGUCUCCUCCUAAAGAGUAACGGAGGAGCACGAAGGUUGGCUAAUCCUGGUCGGACAUCAGGAGGUUAGUGCAAUGGCAUAAGCCAGCUUGACUGCGAGCGUGACGGCGCGAGCAGGUGCGAAAGCAGGUCAUAGUGAUCCGGUGGUUCUGAAUGGAAGGGCCAUCGCUCAACGGAUAAAAGGUACUCCGGGGAUAACAGGCUGAUACCGCCCAAGAGUUCAUAUCGACGGCGGUGUUUGGCACCUCGAUGUCGGCUCAUCACAUCCUGGGGCUGAAGUAGGUCCCAAGGGUAUGGCUGUUCGCCAUUUAAAGUGGUACGCGAGCUGGGUUUAGAACGUCGUGAGACAGUUCGGUCCCUAUCUGCCGUGGGCGCUGGAGAACUGAGGGGGGCUGCUCCUAGUACGAGAGGACCGGAGUGGACGCAUCACUGGUGUUCGGGUUGUCAUGCCAAUGGCACUGCCCGGUAGCUAAAUGCGGAAGAGAUAAGUGCUGAAAGCAUCUAAGCACGAAACUUGCCCCGAGAUGAGUUCUCCCUGAGACUUAAAGUCUCCUGAAGGAACGU